rnacentral:rRNA from 1 species
GACGAACGCUGGCGGCGUGCUUAACACAUGCAAGUCGAACGGAAAGGCCCUGCUUUUGUGGGGUGCUCGAGUGGCGAACGGGUGAGUAACACGUGAGUAACCUGCCCUUGACUUUGGGAUAACUUCAGGAAACUGGGGCUAAUACCGGAUAGGAGCUCCUGCUGCAUGGUGGGGGUUGGAAAGUUUCGGCGGUUGGGGAUGGACUCGCGGCUUAUCAGCUUGUUGGUGGGGUAGUGGCUUACCAAGGCUUUGACGGGUAGCCGGCCUGAGAGGGUGACCGGCGUGACGGGGCGUGUGUACGGGCCCAUACUGCGUGGGGGGGGAGGAGGGGGGAUUGGGCAAGGCGGGGCGGACGCGGGGAGCGACAAGGCGGAGUGCGGAAGGCGGGGCUUCGGUUGUUACACGGCUGUCCGCUGGGCUGAGGGUGGGGUGAGGUGAAGGGAUCAACAAGCUCCGCAUACCUACGUGCCGGCAGCUUGUGUAAUAAGCGGACGAGCAGAGGCCUGAUU